GAUGAACGCUAGCGGCAGGCUUAAUACAUGCAAGUCGAGGGGCAUCAAGGUACACGAAAGUGUAUUGUUGGCGACCGGCGGACGGGUGAGUAAUAGGUAGGUAACCUACCUCAUACUGAGGCAUAGCUGGGAGAAAUUCCAGGUAAUUCCUCAUGAGGUUAUAUGACACAUGUGAUAUAAUCAAAGGUAUCGCAAGGUACUGGUAUGAGAUGGGCUUACUGACCAUUAGCUAGUUGGUGAGAUAAGAGCUCACCAAGGCGAAGAUGGUUAGGGGUUUUGAGAGAGAGAUCCCCCACAUUGGAACUGAGACACGGUCCAGACUCCUACGGGAGGCAGCAGUGGGGAAUUUUGGACAAUGGGCGAAAGCCUGAUCCAGCCAUGCCGCGUGCAGGAAGAAGGCCUGGUUGUAACUGUCUUAGUCUAGGAAAGGGUAGAGAGGUUAAGUACCUCGUAGUCUUGUAUGUACGUGGAAGAAUAAGACAACCGGCUAACU
rnacentral:rRNA from 1 species